CUUUGAGAGUGAGCCCUCGGAUCAGAAAGAUGGUGAGCACCACAUAAGGGAGCGUUGAGGUGACGUACACCGCCUAGGAAAGGCAGGACCUGGUUAAUAUGUGAAGAUACCACCGAAGAAUUCACACCGACUGAGUGACCCUUACAAGACUCCUGGUUAACCUUGACUUGAGAAUCCCUUAUUCCUUUACAUGGACAUGUAAUUAUUUCUGAAUCAAGUAUCAAAUCUCAGAGAAGGUCUCACACAUUACAUUGUCUUCACUAUAAAAUAUUAUUGUAAUAUUUCCAUUAAGUUGCAGACACACGUAUUUAAGAAUCCUACAGUUUUACAAAAACAUUAUAAUUAACAGGUCUAAACACUUUAACAUGUCCCAUUCUAUUCUAAAAAUGUUCUCAUUUGUUGUGUUUUCAUUGAUCUGACAUUUAUGGAACAUUUGUAACAUUACAAAAACGGUCUUACAAAGGUUUGCCUCUAAGAGAAUAAAUAGAAUACAUUCCAUCAUUUUGUUGAAUUAUGAAACAUUCUCUACCAAACUGUAAUACUACUGUUUCUGUUUGAGUUUGACAGCUAUUCACCAUAAAACAGGAUGAAUUCCCAUAAAAGUUGGUAAACUCUGAACUUUUAGAAACUUGAGUAAUUUAUGUGCCCCAUCAUGCCGCCCCAUACAGCAUCUUGUUUCUGUUUAUUGUCAAUUAUUUGUUAAUUUGUCUGUUUAUGUCUUGAUGACUGUGUGUGGAGCUCUUUGAGUUGCACUCUGUUCAUAUAUAGCAAAUGCACUAUAUAAAUAAACUUUCCUU